rnacentral:rRNA from 1 species
AGAGUUUGAUCCUGGCUCAGGACGAACGCUGGCGGCGUGCCUAACACAUGCAAGUCGAACGGAGUAAGACGCUGAAAUUGAGAUUAGCUUGCUAAAGGAUAUUUCUUGUUUUACUUAGUGGCGGACGGGUGAGUAACGCGUGAGGAACCUGCCCUUCAGAGGGGGACAACAGUUGGAAACGACUGCUAAUACCGCAUGAUGUACAUUUGGGACAUCCCUUAUGUACCAAAGGAGCAAUCCGCUGAAGGAUGGCCUCGCGUCCGAUUAGAUAGUUGGUGGGGUAACGGCCCACCAAGUCGACGAUCGGUAGCCGGACUGAGAGGUUGAACGGCCACAUUGGGACUGAGACACGGCCCAGACUCCUACGGGAGGCAGCAGUGGGGGAUAUUGCACAAUGGGGGAAACCCUGAUGCAGCAACGCCGCGUGAAGGAAGAAGGUCUUCGGAUUGUAAACUUCUGUUUUUAGUGAAGAAACAAAUGACGGUAGCUAAAGAGGAAGCCACGGCUAACUACGUGCCAGCAGCCGCGGUAAUACGUAGGUGGCAAGCGUUGUCCGGAUUUACUGGGUGUAAAGGGUGCGCAGGCGGGACUGCAAGUUGGAUGUGAAAUACCGGAGCUCAACUCCGGAACUGCAUCCAAAACUGUAGUUCUUGAGUGGAGUAGAGGUAAGCGGAAUUCCGAGUGUAGCGGUGAAAUGCGUAGAUAUUCGGAGGAACACCAGUGGCGAAGGCGGCUUACUGGGCUCUAACUGACGCUGAGGCACGAAAGUGUGGGUAGCAAACAGGAUUAGAUACCCUGGUAGUCCACACUGUAAACGAUGAAUACUAGGUGUGGGGGGACUGACCCCUUCCGUGCCGGAGUUAACACAAUAAGUAUUCCACCUGGGGAGUACGACCGCAAGGUUGAAACUCAAAGGAAUUGACGGGGGCCCGCACAAGCAGUGGAGUAUGUGGUUUAAUUCGAAGCAACGCGAAGAACCUUACCAGGUCUUGACAUCCGACUAACGAAGUAGAGAUACAUUAGGUGCCCUUCGGGGAAAGUCGAGACAGGUGGUGCAUGGUUGUCGUCAGCUCGUGUCGUGAGAUGUUGGGUUAAGUCCCGCAACGAGCGCAACCCUCGUUCUAUGUUGCCAGCGCGUUAUGGCGGGGACUCAUAGGAGACUGCCGGGGUCAACUCGGAGGAAGGUGGGGACGACGUCAAAUCAUCAUGCCCCUUAUGUCUUGGGCUUCACGCAUGCUACAAUGGCCGGUACAAAGGGUUGCGAUACUGUGAGGUGGAGCUAAUCCCAAAAAGCCGGUCUCAGUUCGGAUUGAGGUCUGCAACUCGACCUCAUGAAGUUGGAGUCGCUAGUAAUCGCAGAUCAGCAACGCUGCGAUGAAUACGUUCCCGGGCCUUGUACACACCGCCCGUCA